UACGGGGGGGGCAAGCGUUGUCCGGAAUUACUGGGCGUAAAGGGCUCGUAGGCGGCCAACUAAGUCGGAUGUGAAAUCCCCAGGCUUAACUUGGGAACUGCAUCCGAUACUGGAUGGCUUGAAUCCGGGAGAGGGAUGCGGAAUUCCAGGUGUAGCGGUGAAAUGCGUAGAUAUCUGGAGGAACACCGGUGGCGAAGGCGGCAUCCUGGACCGGCAUUGACGCUGAUGAGCGAAAGCCAGGGGAGCAAACGGG
rnacentral:rRNA from 1 species